GACAGAGGGUGCGAACGUUGCUCGGAAUUACUGGGCGUAAAGCGCGUGUAGGCGGGUGAUCAAGUCAGGUGUGAAAUCCCCAGGCUCAACCUGGGAACUGCGCUUGAAACUGGUCGCCUUGAGUGUUGGAGAGGGAAGCGGAAUUCCUGGUGUAGAGGUGAAAUUCGUAGAUAUCAGGAGGAACACCGGUGGCGAAGGCGGCUUUCUGGACGACAACUGACGCUGAGACGCGAAAGCGUGGGGAGCAAACAGG
rnacentral:rRNA from 1 species